AGAGUUUGAUCCUGGCUCAGGAUGAACGCUGGCGGCGUGCUUAACACAUGCAAGUCGAACGGAGUUAACAUUUUUGAAGCAAUUAGCGCCUUAGUUUACUAAGGUGCUUAGAGUGGAAAUGUUGUUAACUUAGUGGCGGACGGGUGAGUAACGCGUGGGUAACCUGCCUUGUACAGGGGGACAACAGUUAGAAAUGACUGCUAAUACCGCAUAAGCGCACAAGAGUGCAUGCUCUAGUGUGAAAAACUUCGGUGGUACAAGAUGGACCCGCGUCUGAUUAGCUAGUUGGUGAGGUAACGGCUCACCAAGGCAACGAUCAGUAGCCGGCCUGAGAGGGUGAACGGCCACAUUGGGACUGAGACACGGCCCAAACUCCUACGGGAGGCAGCAGUGGGGAAUAUUGGACAAUGGGGGAAACCCUGAUCCAGCGACGCCGCGUGAGUGAAGAAGUAUUUCGGUAUGUAAAGCUCUAUCAGCAAGGAAGAAAAUGACGGUACUU
rnacentral:rRNA from 1 species